rfam:Camelus ferus unplaced genomic scaffold scaffold1159, whole genome shotgun sequence.
GGAGGGUACAGCUCAGUGGUGGAGUGUGUGCUUAGCACGCACGAGGUCCUGGGUUCAAGCCCCAGCACCUCUG